GGCGGUGACGUCUAGCCCCGGCUGGGGCGCCUCCCUCCUGCCUCCCGCUGACCCGCCGCGGGCGGUCCCGGCCCGGAGCUCCACGCACAGCGCCUCCUUCCCGGUCUGCCUGCUGCUAGGCCGGGCGGCUCCUGCGCUCUCCGGGCGCGCAAGGCGACUUUCUCCUCCUCGUUCCUACUCUGGAUCCUCGGGAUUCUCCAGCCCCGAGUUGAGCGCUCGGUCAGGCCCACACCGGGGUGGGAUCGACUCGUCGCUGGAGUCCAGAGUCCCCGGGGCGGCGCCGCACGGGGCGGGGACGAGGGCUCAUACCACGCGGGAAUCGGGACAGUGGGACUGGUGCUGGUCCCCGCGCCGCCCUCGACCCGCCUGGUCUGGGCCGGGACUCAGGCUGGCCCUCCCCGUGUCCCCUCGGUUCCCGGCGUCUCCGCCCCGGGUCCUCCCGCGCAUUCCGGUCGUGCCUUAGCUUGACGGAGGCCCGGGACGCGGUGGGACAGACAGACCAGAAGGCAAGACCGUGUGGUUCUUAGAAGAGGAGCCCUAGGAGGGUUGUCCGCCCAAAGGAUAUGGGACAGAAUUGUAGGGGACAGGGGUCUCCCUGGAGAGAACAACUCAGUAGGAACUUAGGAAGUCCCCCUUGGCAGAGCUGCCCACUGAGAACGAAAGCACCGCACUGCUCCCAACUGAAAACAGUGUCUAGCAUUAAGAAUUAGUCAAGAGAAAGAAAACACAAAGAUUGGGAGCCUUUUCCCCAGCUAACCCCGAGUGACCCAUAUAUUCGGCAUCAGACCGCAUAAAAGCAGGUCUCAGGGGUUGACAGUUCACAGGGCCUGGUACCUGACAAAUACCCACCGUCUAUCUGCUGAACAAGUGAACUAAUGGCACAAAGAACUGAAUGAGAGAGAUGGACAAUCUGGCCUUCACAUAAAAACGGCUCUUCUUCCCCUUCCAUUAAUGGAACAUUGGGAGAAUUUUCACAAUCCACUGUCAGCCCUGAGUUUUACUGGAAGCACACAAGCCCUGUGUGCUUGAACCACCUUUUAAAAAAAGAGCAAUGUUUAUGGUCACUGUCCCUCAAGAGUGGGGUCUCAGAGCAUGAGCUUUUCCUUUAUGCAAUGGUUGCGUCUUCUGAAUUUAACCCAAAGCCAGGGGCAUCGCUACUGUAAUUGCAAAGUAAUUUCAAAGUUCAUCUGAGCAAAUUCUUUGCUUUCGGUGACCACAUUUUUUUCCUCCUGGCAGAUGGCAUGGACACUAUCUAUCUCUGCUGCUCAGUUUAGUCAGUGUUCCAUCAUUGUGACAAAAAGAAAAAGAAAAAAAAAUCACCUACGAUAUGGGGGUAUUCAAAGGGGAAAAAUAUGCUUUGACUCAUGGUCACUUAGUCCUGUUGCUUUGGGCCUAGAGAGAGGCCACACGUAGAGAUGGAAGCACAUGGAGAGAUCUGCUCACCUUGGUAGCCAGCAAACCAAGGCUCCAGUGGCCUAAUUCCCCCCACCAGGCCUACCUCCCAAGAGUUCUACUACUUCUCAAUAGUACCACAACCUGGUGGCCACAUGUUUAGGAUAUGGGACUUCGAGGACACUUAUAAUCCAAACCAUGAAAACCACAAAACGUGGAUGGACUACAUGUGACCUCUGGAACCUUGAGCCUCCCCAGCAGGACUUCUCUAUGGUUCUGUCUUUGAAUCUGUGUUUGCUAUCCCAUCUCAGGCUCACAGCUCAUAAGGCAAGGAAAUCCCCUGGCCUUUCCUGACUGUCUCCUACCUGCCGUUCACAUCAACCUGCACACUAUCCCGUCUGCUCCUCUCCUGAAGAUGGUAGUAGCUCGUGGCCUAGGCCACAGAUUUCACCUUUGGCUACCUUAGAGGUGAUAGCAUAUAUUUGAGUAGAUUGUUUUUAUUCUGAAACUUUUUUUUAAAUAUGGUACAAAAUAUUUAUAUAUCGUAUAAUAAAGCAAAUGGCUUACAGUUGGCCGGGAA